CUGGUAAAGUGGUAAAGAAAGUGAAGUUACAGCAAAUACCAGCAGGGGCCAAAUGGGUCAUGCUAACAAGCAAAACCUCAACCAUUUGGUUUAUGAUAACAAGCUGAGCUCUGUUGUAUGACUUCUUAAUAUUCCUCCAGCUCUAACAUGCGCUGGCAGUAGUUCAGUACAAGAGGAAUGAUAAGCCUACUCAGAUUAAUAUAGUCCUCAUCUCCUGGCUUCUCCUACAGACGAAGGAAAACAAACUCAGCAGAACCACCGCCUCUUGGUACUUUUCUGCAGCUUCACGGAACUGACCCUGCUUUACCCUAAAGAUACAGCGAGGGCACAACCUUCAGCUUCUCAUCCUUCUCCAUCAUCCAACACUCACACUGUGAGAAAUCUGCUGGAGGUGGAGAAGUGGAACUAGAAUAAGAGUAUGAGCAUGUUGUUGUGCAUGUAUUUGCUUGUUUUCUUGCUCUGUUGAAAUACACCUGACACACUGAGAUGUUUCACUACCAUUCGACAAGCCUGUCGAAUGGUAGUGAAACAAGUUUCCCAUACC